CUUGCUGAAGAAUGGGAACAGAAGAUGGAGAUUCUGAAUGGCCAGAAAGAAGGGCCUGGCCACAGACAGCUUUGCCUUUCUCUGCACCGACCAGGUAGGGAUCACAGGCCUCAGUAGUGCCGAUCCCUUCCAGGUUUUGUGCCAGAAAAAUUCCAAGUCAAGCCCCUCAAAGGAUCACAAACUGCACCAUUGGCAAUGGCUUGUUUAACCGAACUUGAGAACUGUUCUUGACCCCGCAACCUGGUAUUGUCUCUAAAGGUUUUACCCAAUCACCUGGGGAUGCUGUCUUUCAACUCUCAGAUUUGGAAGAGGAUGAAGAGGAGGUACCACUCUAUACUUCAGCAGCCACUUCAGUGGAACAGAAACAUUCAAUAUCCAAGCAACAGUAGGCAUCCUCCCACUACCCAGACUUCAGGAUAGGGACUGGCUACUAUUGCUGUCUCAAACCCAGGAAAGCGUCUGUCAUAGACAAACCGAGCAUUUUCCCUCCUCACCACCUAUGAGAUAUUGCAUGUCUCUGAAAUCACUCAGGUUGCCCCAAGCUCAGUCUCCCUUUAUAAUUCCAGGAGAAGCAGUGAUAGCAGUUCGCUUAUCACAAUUAUAAAUUCUCCUGCCAGCUACUACAAUUCAGCAUUGAUGAAUCCACAAAAUGUAUGGUUUAAGACUUUCAUUAAAUCCUCCUAAUGUGGGCCAGUUGAAGAGGAGUUUAGUAGACAGCUGAAGAGAUUAGAGAUAGCUAGAGUGAUAGAGUCCUGAUGCCCAGGAGAAUGGAAGCUGCCAAGAUCCUUUCAGUCAUGAUGGGUAGCCUCUGACCUCCACUAUGUACAUCCCCACUAAAAUUGGGUAGGUGUCCUGUAGGACUGA
rnacentral:lncRNA from 1 species